rnacentral:rRNA from 1 species
CCAUCGAGUCUUUGAACGCAAGUUGSGCCAGAAGCCAUUAGGCYGAGGGCACGUCUGCAUGGGCGUCA